rnacentral:rRNA from 1 species
CCUGACCUCGAUCAAGCG